rnacentral:misc_RNA from 1 species
CUAAUUGGAAGAGUUUUUUAUGCACAACGACAAGGCAGCAUUACUUUUCCUGACGUUGCUGAUUUGUGGCUAAUCAACCAACCGAUAAACUAACCAGCCCACUUACCGACCCGGAUAGCACCGAGCAACCAACCGCCCAAUCAUCACGUUAGUCAAUCGCAUUACACAUCAUUGCAUGUUAAGUUCUCCUGCAGUUCAACAAUCAAUCUAUCGGAAAAUUAGCAUUUGAAUAAUUAGCAAUUUUGGCAAAAAUGUUGCUGAGAACAACAGUGACCGCGGCUGCCAUUGGACGCAUCGCGUCUGAAAUAUAAAAGCAAAUCGAAUACCAAGCAAAACUCGUACGAUGAAAAAUACAUCGCCUAACUCGCAGCACUAAAUGCUAACGAACUUUGCGAAAACAUCAACAACAACAUCCGCAGCGGGAACAGGAAUUUAACUUGUCGCAGAACAAAACAAAAUAAAUACUAUAUAGCCGACGGAGAGGUAACACCCACGGGCACUUACACACACGGACGCACUUACAAAUCCAUAAGCGCGCAAAAGCCACGAAGUCAUCGGCACACAUCACCCAGCGACAUCCACCUCUCCCCACAUUGACGCACACAUACACACGCAUAUUUGUUUGCAUCCCAAAGCCAACCGCAGCACCUACAUAUUUUCUUUUGCUAUUGUAACGUCUAGUGAUAAGAACAAACGCACAAAGUAGAAUAGUAUGAGCGAAGAAGUUAACGCAGCAAGAUAGUCAACACAGCAGGAAAAGUCAGUGAAAGGCAGGAUAGCAAAUUACAAAAAAGGAAACGCGGGGAGGCGCAGUAACGCGGACCCAGCGUAUAACACGCCUAGUUAAUUAAAUAAUUGAUUUAUUAUAACAUUUUUAGUAAGCGUGAAAAUUUCUCAACACUACUACAAAUAGCAUACACGAAGCCAAAUAGCAGAUACCUGCACGUUUUCUCUCAACUUGCCAAUAAAAGGGAAAAACAAUUCAAAACUGAAACAAAAAAAAAAAUUGCCUGCGUGUCUAUGAAUAUUUAACCAACAAUAUGACAUCAUACGCGACCGCAAAUGAUUCUAACACCACAGCGGCAACAAUGGAAAACAUAAAUGCGACGAAUGAUACCGCAACCGCUGUAGACGCGAACACAAACGCAAACGCAGGUGCGGAGAAUGUCGAUGGCAUGCGAAACUUUCACACAACUGUUGACCGCUCGUCAUAUGAAAGUCCAACAACACCAUCAACGUAUGACUGUGAUGUAGCGCGCAAAUUAGGCGAGACAACAUUGCUGCAGCAGCAGCAGCAAGAGCAACAAGAUCAGCAAUUGUUAGAUACACCAAUGAGCAAUUGUUGCAUUGACUAUGAGUGCGAUUCGUUUUCAGACGGGCAUGAGAAGACCGAUACAACACCGGAAAAUCUGAAGAAGAUUGAUGAUGUCAUUGAGCAGCACCAACACUUAAAAAAUCGCCCAUCCUCGCAUUAUCUUAGUAAUUCGCAAGCAAUAUCAUCUAACGCAGCAGAUUUUGAAAGAGAGUUUUUUGGUGCUGGUGAUGUUGGCUAUGGAGUUGGGCUCGCCGCGGCAGUUGAUGACUCAAAUGCAAAAUUUUGCUUUGGCAAACCGCUUUGCAAAGAAAAAGAAAUGUUGAGCAAAAGCGAACGCAUAGAAAGCCAUGGCCGCAGCAGCAGCAUCGACUGUGGUUCGACUGUCGAUUUGAGCAAAAGCAAGCUGAGUGCCGACGGCAACGGCAGUGACAGUGGUUGCGUUACACCGUCCACAAUGUCGGACAUCAAUAUGGGGGCGCUGAUCGUUACCGGCGGCGGUGCAGAGAAUAGCGAAUCGUUACAGCACGACGAUGAUUCAUCAGCUUCCAAUGCCACUAAUACCACAACAACAGCAACAACCAAUAAACAAUCGUACGCUUUUACAAUCGACAAUUUCAAUGACAGCGGCUGCGAUCCGGAGACAGCGAAAGCGCGUUACAAAAGCAUGAUGGAGCGUUUUCAGAGUCGUCAUCGACGCGGCGCUUCCAUGUCUAAGCUGGAAGCGGGUGAUGCUGCCAACAAGGAGUCGACAAUGACUAGCUCGGUAUCUGCCACACCGCUGAGUGGCCACACACGCCACAGUGCGCGCAACAACGGCAACACAGCAGGCAAUUCACACGAUAAUGGUGCUCUCGGCGGCGGCGGCGGCGGAGAUGCGUCGAAGGUGAAAUUGCGUGUGCGUGAUCGUAGCACGUCGCGCGUGCGGGAUGCCAGCAAGCGCCACAGUUGGUCACCGCGUUCCAGCACACAGGAGCAACAGUUGCAGGGGGGGCCCGGCCAGCAUGCGCGAAACGCGCAGACACCGUCUGCAGCACGCGCUGCCCACAUAAACGCCAAUGAACGUGCCAACAGCGCGCAAAAGCCGCUGCCACCAACGCGUAAAAACGUCAGCAAGCAGAAGCCACCGCCGCUGCAGUUGCCCAAAGGCGCGGUCAACCUAGUCGCGAAUCGCACGCAGUUCACGCCACGCUCGACCGCUAUGCAACUAGCGCUGCAAAAGGUUGAUUUCUUGUGCGCGCAACCCCCGCUUGCCGAAUUGAAGAACUACAACCUGGAGGCAGACAACAUUAGUGAGACGGGGACGUAUACGCUGGAUGGCGAUAACUACACCGAGGAGGAGAAGGAUCUCAUGAACAUCGAUAAGAGCGCGAAGCAGGCGCUUAAAGCACAACAGCGCCCGAAGAAUUUGCAGCUCAGCUCAAGUGUGUGUGAGAGCAACACUAAGAUACCAGUGCAUGUGAACAACAAUCGCACAAAUGUGCUCGAGGUGAACUACUACCACGAUGCGGAGGCGGAACCAGUGCCGCAAUCGCCGCGCGCUUACACUGAGCGCGAUCUCAUACUGGGUUCGCAUGAGUCGGCUGGCGCAUACUUAGAGAAAAUCAAGUCACGUGUGCUACGCAACGCCUCGGCAACAAAGUCUGCGCCGCCGGUCGCGGACGAAGUCGAGGAGAAGACGCCUACGGAAGAUGACGGUGAUUUAGGUUGCUUCACGAGCGUUACAACUAGCGGCGUGCUGGCCAAGAAGAGCGCGCUCGAUCCACGUCCGCGGCUGACUCGCAAAUCUGGGUUGUCCACAUCACAAAUCGAUUCCUCAGAGUAUGUUAGCAAUGAGACAAAGCUGAAGACAAACACGGCCAGCGCUUACGCAGGCGGCGGCUUCACGGACCACCAAAAGGCCGAAUAUCGUUUAAAUUUGUUUACAAAUCAAAAGGACAACACACAGGCGAAGUUUGCCGCCACGCGCAGUUACAUUGAAUCGCCGCCGGAGACGCCAACACACCAGAAACUAUCCGAUGCGGCGGUGCUGAAGACGGCGCAAACGAAAAACGAUUGGAUACAGGAGUGGGCGCGUAAUGCGCGUGCACGCAGCCUCGCUUCAGAAACGUCUAAGACGCGCGUACAUGCCGACGCGUCGCAUACGGCGUUGAUGACGCGCAGCUACACAUGCGCCUCCGAUACAGCUGCUGCCGAUUCGCUCACCGACGAUAGCAUUUACAAUAGUAAACAGUGCGUCAGCGCUGCCAAGCUGAAUCGCAGUCUAGCCGAGCGUUACCGCUUGUCAGGCGAAUGUGACUAUUCAAGCGAUCCAACGUUGUCGAGCGGCGCGUACAGCAGCAGCGGCCAGCCGGCCGAGGGCAUUUGCAAGCCACCAAAGAGUCCUUCGAAAAUACCCUCACCGCUGCAUUCGAUUGGACGUGCGCGCAGUGCAAGUCGUACGCGCCCGCCGCUACAAAAUGUGCUGCUACAGGGCGGCGUCGGCGACGAAGAGGCGGAUAUUUAUUUGCAAAAGACAGCGGCUGCUAUCAGCAACCUGCAGCAGUCUCUGUCUCGCAAGAAUUCGCUGAAAUCGCCGCCCACUACACAUUCUUCAGCGUCGCCACGUGCGCACUCAGCACGCUCGCACGCCCAUUCCUCAGCGCUGUACUCGCCGCCAGAUGACUGCGGCAGCCCCCAGCAUGGACUGGGCUCGCCUACCUCUGCGGCCAGCGGAAGCGCCUACCAUUACUCACCGCUGCAUCGGCGUGUCGCUUCGAACGAUCCAUACGGCCGCAAUGCACAGCAUUUGCAACUGAUGACGAGCAGCUUCAAUGAGCAGCAAUUGAAGUUGCUCACCAGCGGUGAAUACCUGUCGCGGCAAAUGCGCGCGCGUAAGAAUUCCUUCGAUGGCAAUAUUGGCAACUCGCCAGCGCGGCGCUCAGCUGCAGUGGCAGCGGCAAAUGCGCAGGCACAAGCACAAGCGCAAGCUCGCCAAAGUGGUCAGGAGUCGCCAUUGCGUCGUUCCAGUUCGUUUUCGGCGAAAUUAGCGACGACUCAGCGCGCGGCGCGUCCACAGUUCUCCAACAUCUACACACCACCGGCGGCGCGGCACAAUUACUCGCUGGUUAGCGGCGGCGAUGGGCAAUCCGCAACGGCGGUGGCAGUCAGUAAUAGCAGCAUUAUCAAAAAAUCGGCAAGCAGCAACAAUUUCCGCCAAGCAAUCGGGGACUACGAUGAAAAUUUCCAAUAUUACAUCAACGACGAGGAUGACAUCGGCGAAGAGUAUUAUUCAAGCGGUGCUGAAGAGAUCGAAGAAGAGUAUGACGACGCGGAGCACUAUUACCAACACGACGAUGAUAUGCAAGCGGCAGCAGGGAACAGAUCAGCUGUACCCCUGUCAAAUACGCGCCUCAACAAGGCGUUACUGAUGCGCAUCGAGCGUAGCAAGCAACGUGUAAGUGGCGGCGGCGUCAGUUCCGGUUCGGGAAAGCCGUCCUCAGCGCCCGUAUCGAAGUUGCAGCAGCAGCAGGGCGGUUCAUGCGGCGUAAUGGCAUGCCCCAACACGCCUGAACUACCACGGCGUGGCAUACGCAAUGCACCACGUUCAGCCGGAGCCGCAACGGCGCGUCAGUCAGUGCCGCGUGACACCAGUCUCAGUCGGUUGGCAUCACAGGUACCCAACUCUUUGGCCUCGGCGAAGAAGCAGCUACUGCAAACCGCCGCCGCCGUGCCCUCAGCAGCGAAGUUGACAAAUCAACGCGUGCAACCCAAGUAUUUGGAUAUUUCGAAGUACAAACCAGUGCAGGGCAAUAAUUUUCUACGCAAGAACGAAUCGAAAAGCACUUUGAAGACAUCAACAUUGGCCGGCGAUGUGAUGAAACGUAGUCCGAGUAGCUCAUCGAUGGGGCUGAGUCGUGCGGAUCCGACACGCACCAGCAAUCGCAGUGUACGCUCGGUGGCUUCGUGCAUGACCACCAGCGGCACUACGCUUGGCGGUGGUGGUGGUGGCAGUGGCGGCAGUGGUCGAGCCUCAUCAGCGGUGCGUAGAGACCAGUCGGUCACUAAACAAAAAGAGGCUGAAAUGGCCAUGUGGAAGCGACGCUCCACGUACGAUCCAAUGAAGGCAGCAGCAGAAGAUCGCCGCAAGAAGGAGGAGGCCAAACGUUUGACGCUCGCCAAGAAUAUGGACGAAAUGCCAUGCGAGAGGCCAUCACGAUCUCCCUACCGCCGUGGGCAAUUAUGACCGGAAGGGUUGCUUAUAACUGAUUUCUAAGCAUAACGACAAACGACAAAUAUUUUAUUGUUAUACCUAUUGCCAAUUUUACCACAAAACAAUCCCAACCACAACGUCAGCAUAUAAGUGAAAAACAAUUAAGAAAUAAUUCGUAAAAAAAUCAUUAGUCACCUGCUCCUUGCAAAUUAUUGGCGUCGGCUUUGCAAACCACUUUGAGCGAUUAACACUGUUUAUAACUUUUGAUUGGCAUGCGAAUUAGCAAUGCUAAUUAAGCCAUUCAAGUGUAGAUUGUGAGGCGCUAAAUGCAAGGAACGCAGUGUGUUUUGAAUACAGCAACAGACGAAAAGUAAAAACAAAGCGAUAAAAGAAAGAGCAAGCCCAUGGCGUCUAGCGCGGUAGUGGGGACUUGGGUAAAGCUACGACAAAAACAACAAGAAAACUAAACAAAACGAAACAAUGCGAAAAAUAAGAAAAACUCUCAUACCUACUAAUAACCGAAACUACCAAGAAAUAAGUGAAGCCAAACGAGCGAACAAGCGAAUUCGAAAACUAAGAACGUUAAUUCAAAUCAGAUGGAAAAUGAAGGAGGUCGUCACCGAGAGCAACAGUCGCCAAAGCGUAGAUGCAUAUAUUUAGGCGUUACAUAUUUUAACAAAUUAAGCGAACUGUUAUAUUCAACAACAACGAACCAGUAAAUCAAGCGCUACAAAUUAAUGCAAUGAAGCGAGUUAGUUGCUUACUGUCAUCAUUAGUUAUUGUUGUUGUUCACUUUGUGCACGUUCUGUAUGGUGCAUUAAAGGCUGUAGUGGCUUCAGCGUUAACCAUCAAUAGCCACUUUCGGCAUCAUUCUUCAACAUUAACUGUUUGCUGUUGUUCUUGUUGUUGCUGAUGCAUUUUAUUGUUGUCAUUUUACAUUAACUAAUGCUCGCCGUACGAUUUGCGAAAAAAAUGAGUUGUUCAUCUGCAGUUCAUUAAAUCGCAUCAGAGAAAUUUAAAAAGUUGCAUACCUGCCAGCACUUACUUACGUGUAGUUGCUGUGCUUUAUUGAGCUGUGGUCGCGCGUACUUCAUACACACGCUCACUGCGUUCUUAUUUGCUGUACGCUACACGUACGCCGCCGCCACCUUUCAAGCAACAACUAUCGCUGGACGAGCAAUGGACCGAAUAUGGUGAAGAAGAAAGCGUCUAAG